CCCUUAGAUGUUCUGGGCCGCACGCGCGCUACACUGAUGCAUUCAACGAGCCUAUCCUUGACCGACAGGUCCGGGUAAUCUUUGAAUCUGCAUCGUGACGGGGAUAGAUUAUUGCAAUUAUUAAUCUUCAACGAGGAAUGCCUAGUAGGCGCAAGUCAUCAGCUUGCGUCGAUUACAUCCCUGCCCUUUGUACACACCGCCCGUCGCUCCUACCGAUUGGGUGUGCUGGUGAAAUGUUCGGAUCGGCCGUUUGUCGCGGUUUCCGCGGCUCGUGGCUGAGAAGUUCAUUAAACCCUCCCACCUAGAGGAAGGAGAAGUCGUAACA
rnacentral:rRNA from 1 species